GCCGGAGGAAGGUGGGGAGUGACGUCAAGUCCUCAUGGCCUUUAUGCCCAGGGCUACACACGUGCUACAAUGGGCGGUACAAAGAGAAGCAACCUCGCGAGGGUGAGCAAAUCUCAAAAAGCCGUUCUCAGUUCGGAUUGAAGUCUGCAACUCGACUUCAUGAAGUCGGAAUCGCUAGUAAUCGCGGAUCAGCAUGCCGCGGUGAAUACGUUCCCGGGCCUU
rnacentral:rRNA from 1 species